rnacentral:rRNA from 1 species
UACGGGGGGGGCAAGCGUUGUUCGGAAUUACUGGGCGUAAAGGGCCAGUAGGCGGCCAACUAAGUCCGACGUGAAAUCCCAAGGCUUAACCUUGGAACUGCGUCGGAUACUGGAUGGCUUGAAUUCGGGAGAGGGAUGCAGAAUUCCAGGUGUAGCGGUGAAAUGCGUAGAUAUCUGGAGGAACACCGGUGGCGAAGGCGGCAUCCUGGACCAACACUGACGCUGAGUGAGCGAAAGCCAGGGGAGCAAACGGG